UACGAAGGGGGCUAGCGUUGUUCGGAAUUACUGGGCGUAAAGCGCACGUAGGCGGACAUUUAAGUCAGGGGUGAAAUCCCGGGGCUCAACCCCGGAACUGCCUUUGAUACUGGGUGUCUUGAGUGUGGUAGAGGUGAGUGGAAUGCGAGUGUAGAGGUGAAAUUCGUAGAUAUUCGGAAGAACACCAGUGGCGAAGGCGACUCAC
rnacentral:rRNA from 1 species